CGUCAGGGAGCCGGAACAAGAGCCUCCUGUGGUCUAGCGGUGAUGAUUUCAAAACCCCAUCUCUAGUGUGGUUCACAUCUUAUUACCUCCAGCAAUACAAUGCUGGGCAUUGCCCAGGAAAAAGCUUGGCUGUGUCUUAUGGUGGUUAUGAGGAUAUAGUGCAAGAGUGGAAGAAAAAAGACUGCCACCAGGAUCAUGGCUGCAGCGAUCUUUCAUCAUCCGCUCAAUUGUUGUCUGUUGGGAAGAUUAAGCAAUGUGACAAACACAAAGAGCAACUGUUUAGACAAAAAUCCCCUAUUCCCUGCUUAUGAAAUUGCACAUCUCAUCAGUGUGUGUAAUUUGUUAUCAUCUUGUGCCUAGGUUUGCUUUCAGGGAAAGGAUGAGCCACUUUGAGUGAAAUGUGAGACGGAUAAUCCGCACCAAAAUUGAAAUUGCUGCAAUGUGAGCUUGGAUUAUUGUCCUUGCUAAUUUACAAAGCCGUGCACUUGAUACCAUCAGCUCACAUCAACCCUUUGUGAUAAAUCAUUAACCAUGUCUAAUACCAAAGUCCUAAUGGAAACUUCAAUUAUGUGACUGAGCAGUUGAAAUGAAGAUAGGUGGAGCAAAAAUUAUAGAACUUAGAUGGAGAUAUCAUGAGUAAACUAAUGUUAAAUCAGUAUUUUCCACAGACCAGAAGUGAAAGAGGUCCACAAAGUAAUUCAGAAGUAAACACAAUAAAAAGUUAACAAUAGCUCAAGAAAUUCACAUUCACAGUUCAAAUUUUGCUUAAUCUGGCUCUGAAUUCAAGAAGGCUUUCUAAUCAAUUGUUUCCAUCAGCUAUUUAUGUUCGGUAACUAAAAUGUUUGGUGUCUAAAAUUGGUUUUGCUAAAAAUAAAAACCUGAUUCACUGUAACACGAUGACAGUUCAUCACCAAGUUCUUUUCCCUUUCAAUUCCUUUUGUCUUGCUAAAAUC